GGGGGUGUUUGGUUUCGACGGGAUAUGCAAGUUUAAGUAAGCGAGUAGCGAGGCAGAAGCGCUUUAAACUUUGCGAAAACAAUUUAAAUGGAAAUAAAGCAAUUGCAUGCGGCGGUCCAAAUCCAGAAAAGAAAGGUAAAGUAUUAACUGUAUCUUUUAGAGAGGUAAAGACUAUCGCGGCAUAAUGAACGUUUAAUUUAUUUAUAAUUAAACUUGUCGAGUUUCGAAUAUCGCAAUCAACUCUUGACAUCAAUUUAGCGAUGAAUGAUUUAAUUGGGCUUCUCGACAUUAAAUGGCAUAAAUAGAGAAUACCUAAAAUUCCAGUUUGCUUUUUUCUGUUAUUUUUAGGGAAUUUUUAAAAAAAGAUACACUCGUAGAAAGCUUAAAUGAACAUUUUUCGGACAGGGGUUCAAGUCCCCUCACCUCCACCA
rnacentral:tmRNA from 1 species